AGAUAAGGAGCUUGCUCCUUUGACGUUAGCGGCGGACGGGUGAGUAACACGUGGAUAACCUACCUAUAAGACUGGGAUAACUUCGGGAAACCGGAGCUAAUACCGGAUAACAUAUUGAACCGCAUGGUUCAAUAGUGAAAGGCGGCUUUGCUGUCACUUAUAGAUGGAUCCGCGCCGUAUUAGCUAGUUGGUAAGGUAACGGCUUACCAAGGCAACGAUACGUAGCCGACCUGAGAGGGUGAUCGGCCACACUGGAACUGAGACACGGUCCAGACUCCUACGGGAGGCAGCAGUAGGGAAUCUUCCGCAAUGGGCGAAAGCCUGACGGAGCAACGCCGCGUGAGUGAUGAAGGUCUUCGGAUCGUAAAACUCUGUUAUCAGGGAAGAACAAAUGUGUAAGUAACUGUGCACAUCUUGACGGUACCUGAUCAGAAAGCCACGGCUAACUACGUGC
rnacentral:rRNA from 1 species